CUUUGUACUUGGUGUCUGAGCUUAUUGAUGUUGGAGUUCUUGACGUAUCCUUUGUUCUAUGAAGCUGUAUAAAAGAAGCCAUAAUUGGUUCUUAGACACCAUGAUAUUUAUAAUCAUUUAGAAACCUCAGAGAGAGCAAUCAUUGAGGGUUUUAUAGAUAGUCAUCAUCUUUAUGAAGUGUAGGAUCUAUUUCUGCGUUGUCUGUAGGACCCUGCUGAGAAUCUCCAUUGUCCUGCUCAUCAAAAAGCUGCAAACUCAGCAUGGGCUCUGCUUCUUUCAAGGAUGUGUGCAUACAUCUCUUAGAAAUAAGCAGUUACGGUUGUUUCAUUAGACCUCUAAUAACAUCUCUACUUCAUUUUCCUUCCAAAUAUGUUUACUUCAGGGUUGACACUUAUAAUGUCAUCUCAAAAGAAAGAGGCUCUCCUGACAGAUUUACAGUUAUUACAAAAUAUGAUGCUAUCUGCAUACAAAUGGACAGUAGGAGCUUUAAAGAGAUUUUCCCUAUUAUUGCUGCCUAAGGAAGCAAUAAAAAUUUAACAUUUACCAUUGGGAAACACCUGCAGAGAUUAAAUUAAAACUAGAUUAUAUGCUUAUCAGUUAAAUGUUACAAAAGCAAACUCUUUAGAGAUUAACAUAAAAAACAUUGCUAUACAAAUCUUAUUAACGGCUUCACUCUUAGUACAAUCCAUUCUACACCUCCACUGCUCAGGAGUUCUACGUGUGCAACUUAUUAAGUCUUUGUGCAGCUAUACGGUGGGGAGGCAGGGCAGCCUUACUGAGGGCUCUGCUAUCCUGCUGGCAAAUGCCUAUGUUGAUAUUUAGGUUUGUCUUUAAAAGUUGACCUCAAGUACCAUUUGUCCAUCUCUUUCUGAUCCUAGCUAAUUUCUGAAGGACUCUUCACAUUACACUCUCUGUUUCUUGAGCAUGGAACUGAGAUGUGUUCUGGGCUCCUGUGCGGAGUUCUGCUGGGAAUAUUUCUGGAAACCACACAUCUUUGCUGUUGAACUCUUUCUUUGUUAAGGUCAGCAGGACAGAGGACUUUUGAAAGGCUGGAAGCGGAGAACAAGAUACUGUUGUUGCUGAUAGCAGAUAGUCUUUGUGCCACCUUUGGUAUGUCGUGAACAUAUUAUAGAAAAUAGAAAUCUAGGAGGCAUAUGGGCUGGUGUUAUCUGUGAUCUGGAAAUUCAGAAAGCUUCUGGAUUUGGUGUUUGCCAACAAUUUGAGAGGUUUAUGAUGUAGGUAAUCUUCAGACACUGACUUGAAGAGGACACUAUUAGCAUAGAUACUACCUGAACCCGAACUGCAUAGAUGGGGCUUAGAGCUUAUUUCUCCAUCUGGUAUUAUUGCAACUCCUGUAGCUCCAAGGCUUUUUGAAGCAACAUGCCUUUGGAGAAUUCUGAACUACAUAUGGGAAUACACAACUCAGCAAUAGCCACGUCUUCAAUUAUUUACACCAAGGCUUAGGCCAUAAGGAGCUUUGAUUGUGAAGAUCUGACUUGAUUUGAUGGAUCUGGAGAGCAUGACGUUGACAGGAGAUUCAGAUUGUUCAUGACGUGAUUGUAAAAUAAAUCUUGUCAUUUCCCAGGGACAAAUGCAAAGGCCAUGGUUCUGUAAACAUUUCUCUUUUGGACAAAUCUGACCUAGGGACCUCGUGGCCAUUUUUUCCAACCACUUCCCAUAUCCUCCAUUGUGUCAGCACAGACCUUAACAUUUAGUUAAGUGAAUUGGGAGCAUGGAAGGAAUCCAACUUAAAACCUAUCAAUUUAGGUUUAUGAAAAUAUGGAAAAUAGAGCACUGAUCUAUGGAGGUGCAGGAUGCUGAGGUUGAAGAGCAUAGCCAAAGAAUGGGGAGCAGAAAUAGCUGGAACUUGCUUUGCAGGGAAGAAAAAAUGUCUGUGCAAGCUUGGCCUAACAUUUUAAGUAAUAAGUGUUUGUUGGCCCAGAUGAUAUUCACUGAAAGAGGCUAGGGAGUGUUCGAACAAGUAUAUCCAGAUCAGAGGGGUGGUAACCUAUUGCAAAGCAAUGCUCACAAGCCCCUGGGCAGACUGAGGGAGGACUCUUCUGUCAACACAGCUGGGUUUGGGAGGAGAUAUGUGUCCACAGACACAACUCCCUGCACUGUCACAGUGUGCACCAAUCUUGCCUCACACCUCUCUCCAAAAUGUAAGGUACUGUGUCUUCCAGCACUACUGUAGUGUGCAGUUUUGCCCUCCCAUGUGCCUGAAGGGGUGAACUGUACCUUAGCAUUUUUAUAACAGACUUUCUUUUGAGGGUAGGUAAUGGAUGUGUUUGGUAACCAGCAGAAGCCAUAGGUACAUCCGAAUACUGGGUGUGAGUGUGUUCUGUCAUUUUACUUGGACGAAUUACAGUAUUUAACUUGGAAUGGCCCACUCAUGUCUUUUGCUUGACUUUCAGGCUCUGAGCUGUGUGAAUUACUGACAUGGGAAUUUAAGAUGUCAUUUAUCAAAAAUCACAUACGUUUUCGUACGUGCAUACCUGUAUCCAAGGACUUGCCCACCUGACUCCUGGCUCAGCAAUGAGAAAUGGAAGUACAGGAAGUCCCAUGGUGAAUGCUGGAGGGAGAGAGCUCUCUUAAGAGUGAAGUUUAACAGCUAAGGGAACAGUUACAUAAAAAGGAUGAAUGAGCAACAACAAAAGAGGAAGGCUGGGAUCAUAUAAUCUGAAAACUGGAACCACCAUUUAUGAUUUCCUAUUUAGCUGCCUUAGCUUGUGAUCCUGUGAACGUGCUGGUACCAGAGCCUAGAUGCAAGGAGCCACGGGUCAGCCUUCUGAGUCUUUACUAGCAAACUGCAGCUUUGCAAGAUGGGAAAUAUAUAAGGUGACUGUGAGUGCUUGCCACAUGGUUCAGCUCUGCACUGAGCAACAGGAACUGCCACACUGUUUCCAGGAACAGCCAGUGGGGGAUGCUUAGAGAUGAAGAAAAAGUGCAUAUGCAAAAACAUCUUAGCUUGGUGUAUCCUCCUGGCUUUGUGAGGUAGAAGUGCUGAGGAAACAUUAUACAGGAAUACCAUAGUUCAAAGAUUAUUUGGUGCCUCUUUGUGCCAAAAUAAUUAGCCUUCAGCUCCUAGAAGUUGCCAAAAGUUUCCAAAGGGAAAACCCUGUUCUUGUAAACCUCCAGUUUGAGAUUGCAUUCAUAUCCUAAAGUAGAUAAGAGCACAUGGCGAGUAAACAGGAGAAACGUCUGGAUUUGAAGUCCUCCUUUGCUGCCAACAAACCUUCAAGCUUAAUACACAGAAUUUGAGUGCAAGGAAGUGACAAAAUUGGGACCUGAGAGAUCAGGAAGUUCAGUAAUUCAGGCUGUACUGAGCAACGUCAGCAGAGCUAAACAGGAACAGAGAGCAGAGUGUGUGGGUUGUUGGGGUUUUUUGUUUUGUUUUGUUUUUUGUGGUUUUUUCCCCCACCUCAUUUAGUCCAGAGUAAGUGCUGCAUCUUCUGGCAUGGGUAAAUCUUAAGAGACAGAGAAGUAGGCAAAAAAUUAAAUAAAAAGUUGCUGUCUUCUCUGUGUUCCCAUCUGGCAUAAAUAUGCAGUUUCAGAGAGGCAAAUGCAGGUGUCUUCAGCCUCAUGGGAAAGCAUCUGCUGGAACACCUUACUGUCCUUUCAUUCUGGCAGAUUUGCAGUUUUCCACCUUGUGCCUUUUUAUUUAUUUAUUUAUUUAUUUAUUUUGCCCCACUGCAUCAGUUUCAAGCUAUUCAAAACUCUGCACGCCUUUGCUGCCAUGUCUCAGUUCUCUGAAUUUCCUGUGUGGUCUGUCCUGCUGGCAGUUCUACUGCACCUCACUGUCUGCUCCUGCCAUCUCCUUUUAUCAUGGAGCUGGUCUUACAAGACAAAGGUUUUAUCUCUGAUUAUGCUUGUACUGGAAAUUGUUCCAAACACCACCUACCAGAUACCCAAGGAGUUGAGCCUUUCCUUCCUCGUCCUUGUUAUCUAAAAUAAAAAUCAUUAUUGAAGAAU
rnacentral:lncRNA from 7 species